UUUGACGGAGAGUUUGAUCCUGGCUCAGGACGAACGCUCGCGGCGUGCUUAACACAUGCAAGUGGAACGAUGAUGCCCAGCUUGCUCGGCGGAUUAGUGGCGAAGGGGUGAGUAAUACCUGAGUAACCUCCCGUUGACUCUGGGAUAAGCCUGGGAAACUGGGUCUAAUAGUGGAUACUACCUCUAACCGCAUGGUGGGUGGUGGAAAGGGUUUUACUGGUUUUGGAUGGGCUCACGGCCUAUCAGCUUGUUGGUGGGGUAAUGGCUCACCAAGGCGACGACGGGUAGCCGGCCUGAGAGGGUGACCGGCCACACUGGGACUGAGACACGGCCCAGACUCCUACGGGAGGCAGCAGUGGGGAAUAUUGCACAAUGGGCGGAAGCCUGAUGCAGCGACGCCGCGUGAGGGAUGACGGCCUUCGGGUUGUAAACCUCUUUCAGUAGGGAAGAAGCGAGAGUGACGGUACCUGCAGAAGAAGCGCCGGCUAACUACGUGCCAGCAGCCGCGGUAAUACGUAGGGCGCAAGCGUUGUCCGGAAUUAUUGGGCGUAAAGAGCUCGUAGGCGGUUUGUCGCGUCUGCUGUGAAAGCCCGGGGCUCAACCCCGGGUCUGCAGUCGGUACGGGCAGACUAGAGUGCAGUAGGGGAGACUGGAAUUCCUGGUGUAGCGGUGAAAUGCGCAGAUAUCAGGAGGAACACCGAUGGCGAAGGCAGGUCUCUGGGCUGUUACUGACGCUGAGGAGCGAAAGCAUGGGGAGCGAACAGGAUUAGAUACCCUGGUAGUCCAUGCCGUAAACGUUGGGCACUAGGUGUGGGGGACAUUCCACGUUUUCCCCGCCGUAGCUAACGCAUUAAGUGCGCGGCCUGGGGAGUACGGCCGCAAGGCAAAAACACAUUGGAAUUGACGGGGGCCCGCACAAGCGGCGGAGCAUGCGGAUUAAUUCGAUGCAACGGGAAGAACCUUACCAAGGCUUGACAUUCACCGGACGGCCCCAGAGAUGGGGUUUCGCUUCGGGGCUGGUGGACAGGUGGUGCAUGGUUGUCGUCAGCUCGUGUCGUGAGAUGUUGGGUUAAGUCCCGCAACGAGCGCAACCCUCGUUCUAUGUUGCCAGCACGUGAUGGUGGGGACUCAUAGGAGACUGCCGGGGUCAACUCGGAGGAUGGUGGGGAUGACGUCUAAUCAUCAUGCCCCUUAUGUCUUGGGCAUCACGCAUGCUACAAUGGCCGGUACAAAGGGUUGCGAUACUGUGAGGUCGAGCUAAUCCCAAAAAGCCGGUCUCAGUUCGGAUUGAGGUCUGCAACUCGACCUCAUGAAGUCGGAGUCGCUAGUAAUCGCAGAUCAGCAACGCUGCGGUGAAUACGUUCCCGGGCCUUCUACACACCGCCCCUCAAGUCACGAAAGUUGGUAACACCCGAAGCCGGUGGCCUAACCCCUUGUGGGAGGGAGCCGUCGAAGGUGGGACUGGGGAUUGCGACUAAGUGGUAACAAGGUAGCCGUACCGGAAGGUGCGGCUGGAUCACCUCCUUUCUAAGGA
rnacentral:rRNA from 1 species